ensembl:processed_transcript
CUACUAUGUUUAAAAAUAUGUUGAACAAAAAAUUCUCUCUGUUAAAAAAAACAGUUGGGAAAUAUUUUUCGAACAAUUAAAAUUUCACGCUAAUAAUUUUCACUUCAACUUUUCUUACCAUCUCCAGCCACUCUCUGAAUCUGAGUCGCAUCGCCGUUGAAACUCUUCUGGCUCUGGGAGGUGGAGGACAUUUGUUUUCUGGGAGGUUGUUUGUGUCCGUUGCAUUUUGCAUGUGGGUUGCAUUUCUGUUGUGCUGCAGGACGAGAUGUCGAAACUUGUGGUGAAGAAGCAGGAGGUGAACAGGUCACAGCGCACCCAUUGACUACUGGAGAAGUGCCAUUGGGAAGACAGGGCUUCACUGAAAGGUUUGCCGGUGGCCUUUGGUUGUGUUGUGUGAACAGGACUGUCCUGCCCUCCGUCCUGCUGUUGGACAUCCAUGGCUUCUGUCUCCAUUUGAGACGCUUGACUCGAACUCUGAAAACACAUCCAGCAAGAGCUCAUAUGCAUGAAAUCAGCCUGGCUGUUUGUGGGGUAGAGGUCAUAAUGAAAACCUCUAACAUGGUGACUUUUAUCCUCUAAAACUCCAUGAGAAAGAAAAUCUGACUUAAAGUGCGCAAAACAUGCUCGUCUGCUGCUAGGAACUGGCCUGAAGUGGUUUGGGAAGUUGACUAAUAUGACUAACAUCCUGCUGAGUCAAACCAAAUUGACAAUAUCAUCAAAGCCCAGGAGUCAUAAUAAACAUUUUAGAUAGUUGUUUGCUGUUUUAAGGAUCUGCCCGUGUCUUACCUGUAGGGUUUUAUUGUUCUGUCUCCAGUUAAAAGCUUGUCCCC